GACGGGGGGGGCAAGUGUUCUUCGGAAUGACUGGGCGUCAAGGGCGCGUAGGCGGCCUGAUAAGUAGGGGGUGAAAUCCUGCGGCUUAACCGCAGGGCUGCCUUCUAAACUGUCAGGCUCGAGCACAGUAGAGGCAGGUGGAAUUCCCGGUGUAGCGGUGGAAUGCGUAGAGAUCGGGAAGAACAUCAGUGGCGAAGGCGGCCUGCUGGGCUGUUGCUGACGCUGAGGCGCGACAGCGUGGGGAGCAAACAGG
rnacentral:rRNA from 1 species